rnacentral:tRNA from 1 species
CAAGGAAUAGUUUAAAUGUUUAGAACUCUAGCUUUGGGAGCUGGCGGUAGGUGUUCGAGUCCCCUUUCUUUGA